rnacentral:rRNA from 1 species
UACAGAGGUCCCAAGCGUUGUUCGGAUUCAUUGGGCGUAAAGGGUGCGUAGGCUGUGAGGUAAGUCUGGUGUGAAAUCCCGGGGCUCAACCCCGGAACUGCACUGGAUACUGCUUUACUAGAGCACUGGAGAGGGAACUGGAAUUUACGGUGUAGCAGUGAAAUGCGUAGAUAUCGUAAGGAAGACCAGUGGCGAAGGCGAGUUCCUGGACAGUUGCUGACGCUGAGGCACGAAGGCCAGGGGAGCAAACGGG